UCAAGAAUCAAAAGAGAUUUCUUAUGUAAAUUCAUUGUGGUACAAGUAGAAAUUCAGUUCAAAUUUAUAGGAAGUUCAAUAUUAUUUUAUUAGGAAGUCUUAUCCGAGGCAUUAAAUAAAUAUUUCAUACUUGAGUAAUUGAAUCUGUUGAGCGAUUUUGAAGCUUAAGAAGAUAUUGAUGAUAUGUCACUCCUAGAACCAACAAGCACAUAGUUGCUAUCAGCAACCUCAAUUCUAGGAGAAGAGAAAAUGACAGCCAAGUCCAAAGCAUUUGAAAAGAGAGUGCUGAUCAGAUCAAUGAGUCUUCAACUAAAUGAACAUACUUCUAAAAUUCUAAUUUCAAUUCCUGCGGCAUGAAUAAAGGCUUUUUUCAUGGCAGGAAGAUUAUUACGAUCAAUCUCACAUCCCAACAAAUCAAAUCUUCCCCAAAGAGAAUUAGUUAAUUAACUGCAUAGAGACAAAUUUCUGAAAGAAAAUGAUGUACCUAGUGGUCCACACAUAUUUUGUACUGCAUCCAGUUUACAACAUACAAAAAGAAAAUAGAAGGAAACGGAAAAAAAAAAGCUAUUAAAUGCACAAAGUGGAUAAUUUUUUUAGCACCACACGAACAAUGAACACUGAUUUUUAUUGGAGAUUAUUCCAGACUUAAUUAUGGGACAUCAUUAAAGCACUAUAUAAACAUAAAAGGCCACAACACUCUAAGACAAUCAAAGAGAAUGAGAUAACACUAAAUAAAGAGAGCAUUCAAAUUUAAUCCAUAAUUCCUAACCAUCCCUAGUCUAGAUGGUCAGUACUUUUACCCACUCUAUGAGAAUGUGGUGGAGACAUUGUCUGUCUAGUUGUCCUCUUUAAGAGAUUGUGGUAUUGUUGAAUAUGUUAUAAUUGGUGUCAUAUAUUACCUAAUUAUUGAAAUGCAUGAAUUUUCACUCAAAUAAAUUUUAAUUCAUAAUCAUAUGGAAAAUCUAAUGUUCUCCAAUUUUAGUUCUCAGAAAUCAAUGACAUUUACAUACAAACUUCAACCGGAGGUGAUACCAUGCAUUCUUCAAAUUUCUCAGUAAAUGUACAAAAUAGAAGGGAAGAAAAGGGACAAAAAAGAAUGCCUUCUUUUCCUAUAACUUCAUAAACCAUGCUGGUACGCAAACAAAAAUGAAAGGGAAACCAAAUAACCCAACCUAAGAAGAAAACUUUUACCUUCUAACUGCAAAUCAAGAACAGGCAUGGAGAUUUUUCUACCAGUUUGAACCCUAAAUAAUCCACUAAAUUGAGCAAAAACAAAGCAGGGCAAAAUAAGAUAGAUGUAAAAACCAAAAAGCCAAUAACAAACUCUAAAUUGUAGAUCUAGAAUAGUGAAGAGUUUUGACGGUUACUGAAAAAUCAAAAUAUUGGAGUAGCUCUUAAGACAGUUAUCUUGUAAUAAUAUUGUUCGGAAUAAAGAUGUUUAACGCAGCUUUUAAAAAGAAACAGCUAUACUUUCUGGAAGCAAAGGAAAGUACAAGAGGGCACACUAGAAAAUUGGAAAAAAUUAGACGAAUAUAGGAAAAAGAAAAACAAUUUUAUACACUGUAGAAUGCAUAAAUGCAGCUUUCGGUUGAGUUAUAGACCAAAAAAAAAGUUCCAGAAGUUUAAAGGCUGUAGGACAAUAUAUUAAUAAGGUCAGAGAACAGGAAAGCAUCAACAUCUCGGUAGAUCUUUACUCUUAUUAUACGUAUCCGGUUAACAGAUCUGUCAAGCUAAAUUUCCAUGCAUAUUGUCAGAAGAAUGCAAAUAGAAUGAAGUGCAAUCAAGAGCUACUGCGACAAAAAAAAAAGCGAAUCGAAGAUCUAGAUUACUAGAUCUACUAAUUCAAAAGAUUCAGAGGGUGAGGACGCUCUUACAUUUAAUCUACAAUUUACUUUCAACGAUUUACAACCAUGCUUGUUUGGUUUCCGAGAAAUGAAGCACCAGAGAUUUUUACGUGAAGUGAGGACAAACACAAAUACAGUAAAAUCCAGCCAAUAGUAACAAUCGAAGCCAUGGAUACCAGUAAGAAGAAAAAAAAAAUUGGAAAAUCGUAGCGAGAAUUACGGCAUAUCAAAAUCUCACUUGCACGUCAUUUUCGAGAAAUCAGGAAAAAUCAAAUCGAAAUCCACAUGCAUGUAACAAAAAAAAGAAGAAGAAGAAGAAGAAGAAGAGAGAAAAAGAAAAGAAAACAAGUCUAAGCCAAAUUCUAAAGUAAUAGGAGAAAGACACGAGAAAAUGCAUAUCCGCCAUUCCAGCUCACCUAUUUCUCAGGAACCAAACAGAAAAUAAAAAAUUAGUUUCCCCGUCCAAAGAGCAGUGAACAGUCACCAGAAAGAGAACUCUGAAAUACGAGAGAACGAAAAAGGAGAAAGUACCUGAAUCCGAAAAGCUCGUCAAGAUCGGAACCAGAGAGGUUCACCGAACCGACGCUGAAGCUCUGAAGAACUGAAGCGAUAAGAAUGGCGACUUUAUUAAUGUGAGCUUAUUAUUGCAGGUAGAGUGAGGGAGAUUUAUUUAUUUUAUUUAUUUAUUUAUUCUUUGCUCAUUCUGACAAGAGAUUUUGAAUUUGAAUUAAAUUAAAAAAAAUUGAGUGAGAAAAUUUAAGAAAUCGAAAACAGAUCGCAGAAUCCGCGAGUCACGCCGUAUUCCAAAUAGGAUUCGCUGGCCUUCACAGGUAACCACGUGAGCAAAAAUUAUUAAAAAAUUAUUACCCACCAAAAAUGAUUUCAAAAUAAAUUAAUAAUUAAUUCAUAAAAAAUAUAAUUAUAUAUGCCCCACCAGACACAUAUUUAUCAGAUGUCAAAGUACCUUCCCUAAAAUGGGUACAUUGUUAAUCAACCAACUCUAGCCCAAUAAUAAUUUAUGCUCUCUUUUAAACAAAAAUAAUUAUUUCAAUAUUUAUUAAUAAUUAAUUUUUUUAUGUGAAAAAAUUAGUGUAAAGGUAAUUUUUUAAAUGUAUCUUUAAAUAAUAUAUAAAAUCUAGUCGAAUCUUUUGUAAGUAUUUUGAUUGAAG
rnacentral:lncRNA from 1 species